ensembl:snRNA U4 U4 spliceosomal RNA
AGCUUUGUGCAGUGGCAGUAUCAUAGCCAUUGAGAUUUGUCCAAGGUACAAUUAUUGCUAACUGAAAACGUUUCGGGCCAGGCGUGGUGGCUCAUGCCUAUAAUCCCAGCACUUUGGGAGGCCGAGGCAGGU